rnacentral:rRNA from 1 species
UGGGGAAUUUUGCACAAUGGGCGGAAGCCUGAUGCAGCGACGCCGUGUGGGGGAUGAAGGCCUUCGGGUUGUAAACUCCUUUCGUCAGGGACGAAGUUUGUUUGACGGUACCCGGAUAAGAAGCACCGGCUAACUACGUGCCAGCAGCCGCGGUAAUACGUAGGGUGCGAGCGUUGUCCGGAUUUACUGGGCGUAAAGGGCUCGUAGGUGGUGUGUUGCGUCGUCUGUGUAAUCCAGGGGCUUAACUUUUGGUUGGCAGGCGAUACGGGCAUUGCUUGAGUGCUGUAGGGGAGACUGGAAUUCCUGGUGUAGCGGUGAAAUGCGCAGAUAUCAGGAGGAACACCGAUGGCGAAGGCAGGUCUCUGGGCAGUUACUGACGCUGAGGAGCGAGAGCAUGGGUAGCGAACAGG